rnacentral:rRNA from 1 species
CCUACGGGGGGCUGCAGUGGGGAAUAUUGGACAAUGGGCGAAAGCCUGAUCCAGCCAUGCCGCGUGUGUGAAGAAGGCCUUCGGGUUGUAAAGCACUUUCAGUGGGGAAGAAAGCCUUGGGGCUAAUACCCUCGAGGAAGGACAUCACCCACAGAAGAAGCACCGGCUAACUCCGUGCCAGCAGGCGCGGUAAUACGGAGGGUGCGAGCGUUAAUCGGAAUUACUGGGCGUAAAGCGCGCGUAGGCGGUCUGAUAAGCCGGUUGUGAAAGCCCCGGGCUCAACCUGGGAACGGCAUCCGGAACUGUCAGGCUAGAGUGCAGGAGAGGAAGGUAGAAUUCCCGGUGUAGCGGUGAAAUGCGUAGAGAUCGGGAGGAAUACCAGUGGCGAAGGCGGCCUUCUGGACUGACACUGACGCUGAGGUGCGAAAGCGUGGGUAGCAAACAGGAUUAGAUACCCCAGUAGUC